rnacentral:lncRNA from 1 species
CCUUGGGGAAAGUGACUAUAACAUUGGGUAUAUAGUUGAUCCUGUAAUAUAUCAUGAUGCUGUGAGCUAUCCCCAGUCUGAUUUGUGGAUAGAUGCUAUAAAGGAGAAAAUAUAAUCUAUGGCUUAAAACAAGCAUCUCAGUAAUGAUACUUGAAAUUUGAUGAGGAGGUAACCUCUCUUAGUUUUGAGAAAAAUAAGGUUGAUCAGUG